GGCUAUGCAUUCAUGCCUGGGGUUGAUCCCACUACUUAGGCCUUUCCAAUCACAGUUCAUGCACAACAAACACCAAACCCAAACCUAAAUUAAACGUGGCUAACCUACGAUUUCAUUUAUAUUACAAACCAAGUUCACAACCAAUCAGUGAAUAAGUUUGAAUAUAACAUGGCAAUCAAAUUAACUACAUGAAUAGGUGAUUAGAAAGAAACGACAUUCAGUAAAUGAGAUGCUCUGUAUUUCAACUUCAAUCAAUCAUAUUGUAUUCCUCCAUUUCACAUAUCAAGGGUGUGAGGGAUACCUGGAAAUGAGAAAAGAAACAUAACAAGAAGGGAUUAGUGGAUAGCAACAACAAAAGAAAAUGAAAUUCAGCAGCUUAAUCACAGCAGACCCAGCUUUCUCAGACCAUUUCAAACCCAGCAAAAUAAGAAUUACUUCAAGCUUUCAAUAAAGCCCAAAAAAAACGCACAACUUCAAAGAAAUAGUACUUUCUGGUGCUUUUUCUUCUGAUUCUUCAGACUUUUCUGUUUUCUCUUUUUUAGCCUAAUGUCAUUUUCCAGAUUUUUUUCUAUCUUUUCCCUUUUUCUAGUCUGCCUUGCCUAUCAAGUUUAAGUGCCUUUAUAGGCAAGGCAUUAGGGAAGCCUAAAAGUAUUAAAAUUUGCAUUAACCUUUUCUAAUUUUGGUUUUAGCUCCCAUACCCUUUCUGCAAAUUUCAGAAUUUCAAAACCAGUCCCAAAACCCCUUUCCUAGAAACUUCCUAAGGUUGUUACAUAAGAUUCCCCUACCUAUACUACCCAAAUUACCCUUGAACCCCUGCUAAUUAACCAUAUAGACCAAACGGAUAUGGGUCAAGUUGACCCUGGGUUGAAUUAACUCAAAACCCAACCCAAUUCAUGAGCCUGAACCUAAAGGCAUGAACCCCAGGCCCAUAUGCAAUCAGAACCAACUAGAUUCUGAGCUUACCAAGAGCAGAAAGUAAACACUUGUUUGAAAAUUAAGGCUAACUACACGACUAAUUAAUUACAUAAACAGGCAAAGGGUGAAUUUGGUUAUUAAAUUGAGACGACCCAAUUAAAUUAACUUAUGAGACUAAAGCAAAAUCAAACAAAAUCAGAGAAUAGACUUUUAGACCUCGACCGGAAAACUAAACGACAAAACAAACAAAAAAAUUAAUCUAGGGGGAAAACCUAAGCUCAGAAACCUGCUCGAAUUUCAGUGCACUUCAAGAAAGAUGAGAAGAAAAGAAGAGGGGUAGGACGUGAAUCAAAAGUGGAUAGAAGAAAAGGACAAGGGAAGCUUACCGACUAGACUUGACCACAACGCUUGAUUCCCUGAUUUAACACAAUCAGUGUUAGUCGCUUGUUCUUUGUUAAGAACAAACGACCAACACUAAUUAUGCCAAAUUACACUCGAAAAUCUUGAAGACUCGGACGCUUGGAGUCAUGCAAGCCAUAGAUUCAAAUGCAGAGUGAUUUGGCUUUUAGGGCUUCGAGCUCAGAUUCAAUAUUCGAAGAGUUUUAGUUAUAUUCGAGGGGAAUGGAUUAAGGAUUUGGGGAGAGGGGGUCUUGGGGGUUUCAGGGUGUUAUGUUGGGGUGAUUUGGGAGAAGUUAAGUUUUUAGUUUGACUUUCGAUUACAGAUUCGAUGAGUUCCAGUAGGAUUCGAGAGAGGGAGUUUGGAGAUUUGGGAAGAGGAGAAAGAGAGGAAUCUAUGGUGUUAAUUUGGUAGUGAUUGGACCACCGGAACCACCGUGAGGGGAUUUCUGGUGGGCGGAGUAAGGCGGAGCAAGGUGGAGGCGAUAGGGAUUUGAGGGCGGCGGUCCUUAGGGUUUGGGAGAGAGACGAGA
rnacentral:lncRNA from 1 species